rnacentral:misc_RNA from 1 species
UAAUAAGUGUUUUAUGGCACUUUUUAAAUCCAUAUCCACCUUGUGUGCAAUGUCAGGUCGAUUUCUUUUAUGGAGGAUCGACCAAACAUCAACCUUUAUCUUUUAACUCUUUGUCUGAAAAAUAUUAUGAAUAAACAAUUCAAAAUA